rnacentral:tRNA from 1 species
CGGGGUAUAGCCCCGCCUUUGGCGGGGCGCUACGUUCGGGACGUAGAGGUCGGGCUGUUCGAGUCGCCUUACCCCGA